ACAGAUACUUCUCCUAACUCCAAUCUGGGAGAGACAACCAAGAAGAACAAACUGUUUCAAAAUGCAUAACUGAAGUGGCAAUAUGAGAUACUUGUGGAGGACAUAAUAAACAUUGAAUCAGGCAAGGUUUCCCUCUGUUGUUAAUCAAAAACAUUAAGCAUGGAAAGUAUCAGCAGUGCAGAGCAGAGGUAACAAUAUGAUCCAUCCAUUAACAACAUUGUAUGAAACUAUUACUUGAAUGAUUACUGAAAUACCACAAUUUUUGAAUCAGGGUUCCCUUACACCGGUCUUCUCAAGGGUAUCCUCUACUGGCCUAGUUGUCCCUGGUGUUAAAAUCAACAUCUCUCAUGAGAUGAACAUUUUGUGAGAGCCCUUUUCUGAGUCUUCCAAUUCUAUAUGGAAAUUUCUGCCUCAAUGUAGUAAAACAUCAUUUGUACUUUUAACUGAGUAAUAACCAGUUUAGUUCAUUGUCGUGUUUAAUAAGUACUUAUCACCAGAUAUAUUAUCCUGUUAUUUUGCUAAUUAGGAUUUUUC
rnacentral:lncRNA from 1 species